AAAUUGAAGAGUUUGAUCAUGGCUCAGAUUGAACGCUGGCGGCAGGCCUAACACAUGCAAGUCGAGCGGUAGCACAGAGAGCUUGCUCUCGGGUGACGAGCGGCGGACGGGUGAGUAAUGUCUGGGAAACUGCCUGAUGGAGGGGAUAACUACUGGAAACGGUAGCUAAUACCGCAUAACGUCGCAAGACCAAAGUGGGGACCUUCGGGCCUCAUGCCAUCAGAUGUGCCCAGAUGGGAUUAGCUAGUAGGUGGGGUAACGGCUCACCUAGGCGACGAUCCCUAGCUGGUCUGAGAGGAUGACCAGCCACACUGGAACUGAGACACGGUCCAGACUCCUACGGGAGGCAGCAGUGGGGAAUAUUGCACAAUGGGCGCAAGCCUGAUGCAGCCAUGCCGCGUGUGUGAAGAAGGCCUUCGGGUUGUAAAGCACUUUCAGCGGGGAGGAAGGCGUUAAGGUUAAUAACCUUGGCGAUUGACGUUACCCGCAGAAGAAGCACCGGCUAACUCCGUGCCAGCAGCCGCGGUAAUACGGAGGGUGCAAGCGUUAAUCGGAAUUACUGGGCGUAAAGCGCACGCAGGCGGUCUGUCAAGUCGGAUGUGAAAUCCCCGGGCUCAACCUGGGAACUGCAUUCGAAACUGGCAGGCUAGAGUCUUGUAGAGGGGGUAGAAUUCCAGGUGUAGCGGUGAAAUGCGUAGAGAUCUGGAGGAAUACCGGUGGCGAAGGCGGCCCCUGGACAAAGACUGACGCUCAGGUGCGAAAGCGUGGGGAGCAAACAGGAUUAGAUACCCUGGUAGUCCACGCCGUAAACGAUGUCGAUUUGGAGGUUGUGCCCUUGAGGCGUGGCUUCCGGAGCUAACGCGUUAAAUCGACCGCCUGGGGAGUACGGCCGCAAGGUUAAAACUCAAAUGAAUUGACGGGGCCCGCACAAGCGGUGGAGCAUGUGGUUUAAUUCGAUGCAACGCGAAGAACCUUACCUGGUCUUGACAUCCACAGAACUUAGCAGAGAUGCUUUGGUGCCUUCGGGAACUGUGAGACAGGUGCUGCAUGGCUGUCGUCAGCUCGUGUUGUGAAAUGUUGGGUUAAGUCCCGCAACGAGCGCAACCCUUAUCCUUUGUUGCCAGCGGUCCGGCCGGGAACUCAAAGGAGACUGCCAGUGAUAAACUGGAGGAAGGUGGGGAUGACGUCAAGUCAUCAUGGCCCUUACGACCAGGGCUACACACGUGCUACAAUGGCAUAUACAAAGAGAAGCGACCUCGCGAGAGCAAGCGGACCUCAUAAAGUAUGUCGUAGUCCGGAUUGGAGUCUGCAACUCGACUCCAUGAAGUCGGAAUCGCUAGUAAUCGUAGAUCAGAAUGCUACGGUGAAUACGUUCCCGGGCCUUGUACACACCGCCCGUCACACCAUGGGAGUGGGUUGCAAAGAAGUAGGUAGCUUAACCUUCGGGAGGGCGCUUACCACUUUGUGAUUCAUGACUGGGGUGAAGUCGUAACAAGGUAACCGUAGGGGAACCUGCGGUUGGAUCACCUCCUUA
rnacentral:rRNA from 1 species